ACGGCGAGUGAAGCGGUAACAGCUCAAAUUUGAAAUCUGGCCUCACGGUCCGAGUUGUAAUUUGUAGAGGAUGUUUCGAGCAUGGUCUGGCCUAAGUUCCUUGGAACAGGACGUCAUAGAGGGUGAGAAUCCCGUAUGCGGUCAGGUGCCUACGCUCAUGUGAAACUCCUUCGACGAGUCGAGUUGUUUGGGAAUGCAGCUCAAAAUGGGUGGUAAAUUUCAUCUAAAGCUAAAUAUUGGCCAGAGACCGAUAGCGCACAAGUAGAGUGAUCGAAAGAUGAAAAGCACUUUGGAAAGAGAGUUAAACAGUACGUGAAAUUGUUGAAAGGGAAGCGCUUGCAACCAGACUUGCGCGCGGCUGAUCAUCCGGUGUUCUCACUGGUGCACUCGGUCGCGCUCAGGCCAGCAUCGGUUUUGGUGGUUGGAUAAAGGCCUUAGGAAUGUAGCUCCUCUCGGGGAGUGUUAUAGCCUAGGGUGCAAUGCAGCCUACCGGGACCGAGGACCGCGCUUCGGCUAGGA
rnacentral:rRNA from 1 species